GAAACGACUGCUAAGACUGGAUAGGAAAAGUAAGGGCAUCUUUACUUUUUUAAAAGACCUUCUUUGAAGGUAUGCUUAAGGAGGGGCUUGCGACACAUUAGUUAGUUGGCAGGGUAAAGGCCUACCAAGACUAUGAUGUGUAGCUGGACUGAGAGGUUGAACAGCCACAUUGGGACUGAGACACGGCCCAAACUCCUACGGGAGGCAGCAGUAGGGAAUUUUCGGCAAUGGAGGAAACUCUGACCGAGCAACGCCGCGUGAACGAUGAAGUACCUCGGUAUGUAAAGUUCUUUUAUUAAGGAAGAAAAAAGAGUGGAAAAACUCCCUUGACGGUACUUAAUGAAUAAGCCCCGGCUAAUUAUGUGCCAGCAGCCGCGGUAAUACAUAAGGGGCGAGCGUUAUCCGGAAUUAUUGGGCGUAAAGGGUGCGUAGGCGGUUUAAUAAGUCUAUAGUUUAAUUUCAGCGCUUAACGCUGUUGUGCUAUAGAAACUGUUUUACUAGAGUGAGUUAGAGGCAAGCGGAAUUCCAUGUGUAGCGGUAAAAUGCGUAAAUAUAUGGAGGAACACCAGAGGCGUAGGCGGCUUGCUGGGACUUUACUGACGCUGAGGCACGAAAGCGUGGGGAGCAAGCAGGAUUAGAUACCCUGGUAGUCCACGCCGUAAACGAUGAGUACUAAGUGUCGGGUAAAACCGGUACUGAAGUUAACACAUUAAGUACUCCGCCUGAGUAGUACGUACGCAAGUAUGAAACUUAAAGGAAUUGACGGGACUCCGCACAAGCGGUGGAUCAUGUUGUUUAAUUCGAAGAUGCACGAAAAACCUUACCAGGUCUUGACAUUUUCUUGCGAAGUUAUAGAAAUAUAAUGAAGGUUAUCAGGAAGACAGGUGGUGCAUGGUUGUCGUCAGCUCGUGUCGUGAGAUGUUAGGUUAAGUUCUAAAACGAGCGCAACCCUUGUCGUUAAUUGCCAGCAUGUAAUGAUGGGGACUUUAACGAGACUGCCAAUGAAAAAUUGGAGGAAGGUGGGGAUUACGUCAAAUCAUCAUGCCCCUUAUGAUCUGGGCUACAAACGUGAUACAAUGGUUGAUACAAAGAGUAGCUGAAACGCGAGUUCUUAGCCAAUCUCACAAAAUCAAUCUCAGUUCGGAUUGAAGUCUGCAACUCGACUUCAUGAAGUUGGAAUCGCUAGUAAUCGCGAAUCAGCAUGUCGCGGUGAAUACGUUCUCGGGGUUUGUACACACCGCCCGUCA
rnacentral:rRNA from 1 species